AGCUUAUCCCGGGGGUUGACGCGGAGGAUCAGGCCACGCAGCGCGGCAUAGAAGGACUCCUUCGCCUCCUCCGAGGCGUCCAGGGUAGCUCGUCCGCUCCAGAAGAAGGUGUACCCGUGCCGAGGCUCCUCGAUCUGCCCGGCACCAGGGAGACGGGUCUCGGAGAGGGCAACAAUGUCCAGGCCGAGCUUCUGAAUCUCAAGGGCGAUGAGGGCAGUCCUGCGCUCCGGUCUAUUUGCUCUUGCGUUGUCCAUCAGGGAUGAAUCUGCUGGAGGCGGGUCUCCAGCCGAUCGGUGGCGGUGAUGGGCGUGUUUAGGCCGCCUUUUAUUGGCCCUUCCUCGGAUUGAGGGGAGCAGCGCUACGACUAAAGAGUCCUGCUCCGCCACCGUGGUCGCUGCCUCUCCCCUGCACCAUCACCAGUUCGCAAGGGGAGCGACCAU